AAGAAAUUAUAAAAUGAAGCAAUUUUUUCGUAUAAGGUGAUAAUGUGCUACUUCCGGUGAAGUAAAGUUUCUUCCAGUCUCAUAUGAAAGCUUCUUUAAGAUUGAUUCCAAAAAUAUAAAGUUUCUAUAUACUUUUAUCUUCUAUAAUAAUAAUAUAUAUGACUUACCAUUACUAAAAGCCAUGGAUUCAACAACCAUGCUAAAAGUCACA
rnacentral:lncRNA from 1 species